rnacentral:rRNA from 1 species
AACGAACGCUGGCGGCAGGCCUAACACAUGCAAGUCGAACGCCCCGCAAGGGGAGUGGCGCACGGGUGAGUAACGCGUGGGAAUGUACCUUUUAGUUUGGGAUAACAGCGGGAAACUGCUGCUAAUACCGAAUACGCCCUUAGGGGGAAAGAUUUAUCGCUAAAAGAUCAGCCCGCGUCAGAUUAGCUAGUUGGUGGGGUAAUGGCCUACCAAGGCUCCGAUCUGUAGCUGUUCUGAGAGGAAGAUCAGCCACACUGGAACUGAGACACGGUCCAGACUCCUACGGGAGGCAGCAGUGGGGAAUAUUGGACAAUGGGGGAAACCCUGAUCCAGCCAUGCCGCGUGAGUGAUGAAGGCCUUAGGGUUGUAAAGCUCUUUUAGCAGGGAAGAUGAUGACGGUACCUGCAGAAUAAGCACCGGCUAACUUCGUGCCAGCAGCCGCAGUAA